rnacentral:rRNA from 1 species
UACGGAGGGUGCAAGCGUUAUCCGGAUUUACUGGGUUUAAAGGGUGCGUAGGUGGGUUGGUAAGUCAGUGGUGAAAUACUUUCGCUUAACGAAGGAACUGCCAUUGAUACUACCAGUCUUGAAUACAGUGGAGGUAGGCGGAAUGCGUCAUGUAGCGGUGAAAUGCUUAGAUAUGACAUAGAACACCCAUUGCGAAGGCAGCUCACUACCCGAAUAUUGACUCUGAGGCACGAAAGCGUGGGGAUCAAACAGG